rnacentral:rRNA from 1 species
UGCCAGCCGCCGCGGUAAUACGUAGGGUGCAAGCGUUAAUCGGAAUUACUGGGCGUAAAGCGCGCGUAGGCGGUUUGGUCAGUUGGAUGUGAAAGCCCCGGGCUCAACCUGGGAACUGCAUUCAAUACUGCCAGGCUAGAGUACGGUAGAGGGGGGUAGAAUUCCACGUGUAGCGGUGAAAUGCGUAGAGAUGUGGAGGAAUACCAGUGGCGAAGGCGGCCCCCUGAACUGAUACUGACACUGAGGUGCGACAGCGUGGGUAGCGAACAGGAUUAGAUC